CCAGCUCCUGCGGUAAUUCCAGCUCCAAUAGCGUAUAUUUAAGUUGCUGCAGUUAAAAAGCUCGUAGUUGGAUUUCGGGUGGGGCCUGCCGGUCCGCCGUUUCGGUGUGCACUGGCCGGGCCCACCUUGGUGCCGGGGACGGGCUCCUGGGCUUGACUGUCCGGGACCCGGAGUCGGCGAGGUUACUUUGAGUAAAUUAGAGUGUUCAAAGCAAGCGUUCGCUAUGAAUACAUUAGCAUGGAAUAACAUGAUAGGACUCUGGCUUAUCUUGUUGGUCUGUAAGACCGGAGUAAUGAUUAAGAGGGACAGUCGGGGGCAUUCGUAUUUCAUUGUCAGAGGUGAAAUUCUUGGAUUUAUGAAAGACGAACUUCUGCGAAAGCAUUUGCCAAGGAUGUUUUCA
rnacentral:rRNA from 1 species